CAGAGUAUAGCUAAACGCAGAUAAAGCAUCUCCUUUACACUGAGAAGGUAUCCGUGCAAACCGGAUUGCUCUGU
rnacentral:tRNA from 1 species